UUAAAGCGUCUGUCAACAGGAAAAUACAUGUGUGUAAAUGCAGAGAACUGUGGCGAUAUCUUUGGUAAAAGCAAAGCAAACGCUGAGAUCUAAAUUGUAUCGACUCUUAAUAGUUGACAUAGUGAACUGUUUGAAAAAUGCAUUGUGAUAUUGUAGACUCCUGACUUAAUUUCCAGCUAGCCAUCCGUGGAUAGGCUAAUAGAGCUACAUGAAGUUUCCCCACAUCUUUUUGUUGUAUCCCGUUUCAACAUUUGAACAAUAGCUAUGUUACUUAUUAAUAUGCAUGUUCACUGUUUGUGUUUGUUGUGUGAUGGCUAGCAACCUCCUGGAUUAAUAUAGUAAUACGUGUGUUUAUAAAGUGUACAGUAACGUUAAAUAAAGUAAGGACCUAAAACGAACUACAAUGACAAUUAUGCUUUUCAUAGAUACAUUGGAGAUAAGGAAGGUUGAUGGCUCUAGCAACGAGUCUCGAUCCAAAGUAUUGUUGGCUAAGCUUCAGAGGAAGGCCAAAGUCGAGGAGCAACAGAGCUCGGCAUGUCAAGGGGAACACAAGUCAAAAACAAUAGUUCAGAAUGACAGGGACACCUCUGCGAAGAAGAAAAUAAAAAACAAGGGAGACAACCUCGAGGAGACAAAACACCCAAAGAAGAGGAAAGAGCAAGUAAACCAACAUGUCUCCACCUGACCCUGAAGAACUUUCCAAAGGUGAUAAUGCAUGCAAAGAAGAAAAAUGCUACAAAAAAUAUACAACUAACAGAAGACAAAGAUGGGAUGAUUUUGAGAAAAAGAUUAUUCAAAAGGUACAAAGAGUCCUGCCCCAGUGGCUUACUGAGCCAGAUGUGAUCCAGAGAGAUAUUACAAGCAACCUAGUCCCCAUCAGUGAUGUCCCAGGAAUUUGUACUAGACUGCAACGGGAAUUGGAGGGCAAUGGAAUUCAGCAUCUCUUUCCAGGCACUGAUGGAGCGAGGUUUAUGUGACAUCCGGGUUUUGAAUGUGUUGCCCACCAAAGAGCUUGCACAGCAGGUUUGCAAAGUAUUUAGUUCAUAUGCGGAGGGCACCAGCUUGAAAGUGGUUAUAAUCGCUGGUCCAAAGUUUUUUGCCAAAGAGCAGGCAUCGGUCUCUGAAACCCAGUCAAGACACAUCAAGGUCUUUCUUCCUUGAGGUGGAACAAGCCACAGUUUGGCAGACAUUGUUGUCGCAACCCCUGGGAGACUGGUUGAUCACAUCAAUAAGUUUGGAACACCUCCGCUUCCUUGUGGGUCACUAAUACAAAUCAUUGAUGAGGCAGACCGGAUGAUUGACAGCAUGCACCAGUCUUGGCUCAGUCAGAUGACCAAGGCAGUUUACAGAUCCAAGAGAGGUUCUGAAGCAGUCUAGAUCUUCAAGAGGACAUAGCCUGCACUUAUCACUGCAGCAAGCUUGUCAACACCUCAGAUGCCUCUAACGGAAGCUCCUGUUCUCAGCCACACUGACUCAGAAUCCAGAGAAGUUGCAGCAACCAGGCCUGCAUCAGCCCAGACUCUUCAGCUUGGUCCAUAGUCAGUCAACGACCCCACCCUAAGUCUCAAGAGAGGUUCAACUUCCCCCAGGGCUUGACAAUUCUUUACCCCCAAAAAUUAUUGCAAUAGAUUUUUUAUUUCUCCUAUAUCCCAGAGCAAUGUGUUACUGUGGUCUCUUUUUUUGGAGAGUACUAUGUGCCCUGCACUUUGAGUAAGAGGCCCCUCCUCAUCCUCCAUUUCAUACUGUGCCUGAAGUUUAGUCCCAUUCUGUGCUUCACCAAUUCCAGAGAAUCCGCUCACAGGUUGGUGAAUCUUCCCUGGCCUUCUCCUUAAUGCAUUAUUUGAUGAUGUCCACAGCCAUAUGAUUUGCUCUCUGUUCUCUCUAACAGACUGUGUCUGCUAGUGCAGCUUUUUAGUGGAAUGCAGGCAGCUGAGUUCUCCUCACGACUCCCAAUGACAGGAGGAGAACCCUUAAGGAGUUUGAACAGGGAAAGACUUUUGACCAGCACUGAUGCUGCUGCCAGGGGCAUUGUCAUCAACGGGGUGAAACGUGUUGUGAACUACGAUGCACCACAGUUCUUCAGGACGUAAAUAGCUUGAUCGUUACACCUGUAACUGCAUUGGCUAAAUUGUAUUUGUUGUUGUAGCUUUUAUAUGCAAUGAAUGUUAUUAGAUGUUCUGCCUUCCUGUGACAGUAUUUGUGUUGGAAAAGGGUUGGAAAGACUGCAAGAGCUGGAAAAGCUCUUACAAAAAAAAAUAAUACACAAAGAGCAAUUGAGAUGAUGUGGAUGUGUGGCCAAGGCUGAAAUGAGAUCACUGCAGAAAGCAAUAUUCUGAAAAACAGCUUUGCUCCUGUGUUAAAACAACACAUUUCACUGCACCUAUCUGGUGUAUGUGACAAUAAAACAUAUUUGAUUCAAUAAUACACUGAAAAAACGCAACAUGUAAAGGGUUGGUCCAAUGUUUCAUGAGCUGAAAUAAAAGAUCCCAAAAAUGUUCCAUACUCAC